rnacentral:rRNA from 1 species
UACGUAGGGCGCAAGCGUUGUCCGGAAUUAUUGGGCGUAAAGAGCUCGUAGGCGGCCAGUUGCGUCUGCUGUGAAAUCCCGGGGCUUAACCCCGGGCGUGCAGUGGAUACGGGCUGGCUGGAGGCAGGCAGGGGAGAACGGAAUUCCUGGUGUAGCGGUGAAAUGCGCAGAUAUCAGGAGGAACACCGGUGGCGAAGGCGGUUCUCUGGGCCUGUACUGACGCUGAGGAGCGAAAGCGUGGGGAGCGAACAGG